AGAGUGAACGCUGGCGGUAGGCCUAACACAUGCAAGUCGAACGGCAGCACAGGAGAGCUUGCUCUCUGGGUGGCGAGUGGCGGACGGGUGAGGAAUACAUCGGAAUCUACCUUUUCGUGGGGGAUAACGUAGGGAAACUUACGCUAAUACCGCAUAAGACCUUCGGGUGAAAGCCGGGGACCUUCGGGCCUGGGCGCGGACAGAUGAGCCGAUGUCGGAUUAGCUAGUUGGUGAGGUAAAGGCUCACCAAGGCAACGAUCCUUAGCUGGUCUGAGAGGAUGAUCGGCCACACUGGGACUGAGACACGGCCCAGACCUCCUACGGGAGCAGCAGUAGGGAAUAUUAGGACAAGUGGGACGAAAGCCUGACUCCGAGCAAUGCCGCGUGAGUGAUGAAGGUCCGUUAGGGUUGUAAAGUCUUCUUUACCCGAGACUAGAUAAUGACUAGUACGUA
rnacentral:rRNA from 1 species